rnacentral:rRNA from 1 species
CCUACGGGAGGCAGCAGUGGGGAAUAUUGCACAAUGGGCGAAAGCCUGAUGCAGCAACGCCGCGUGAGCGAUGAAGUCCUUCGGGUUGUAAAGCUCUUUCUUCAAGGAAGAUAAUGACGGUACUUGAGGAGGAAGCCCCGGCUAACUACGUGCCAGCCGCCGCGGUAAUACGUAGGGGACUAGGGUUAUCCGGAAUUACUGGGCGUAAAGGGUGCGUAGGUGGUUUCUUAAGUCAGAGGUGAAAGGCUUCGGCUAAACCGUAGUAAGCCUUUGAAACUGGGGAACUGGAGUGCAGGAGAGGCAAGUGGAAUUCCUAGUGUAGCGGUGAAAUGCGUAGAGAUUAGGAGGAACACCAGUUGCGAAGGCGGCUCGCUGGACUGUAACUGACGCUGAGGCACGAAAGCGUGGGGAGCAAACAGGAUUAGAUACCCGAGUAGUC